ACAGGCUUAAGAGUUAUUCAAUUAAGGCACAGCUUAUUUGAAAAAGAGUACAGUCUACAACCAAGGGUAAGUACCAAGAUUCGUGUUAAGUGGGCCUGAAAGCAGCCACCUUCAAAAAAGCGUUAAAGCUUUUCACAUCUCUGAUAUUUAAUACCAACACCUUUCUCGAACCCUUCACUAAUACUGAAUGACCCUAUAAAUUAUAGGAGACAUAAUGCUAAAACUAGUAACAAGAAAUAGACUUUCUCCGAAAUGUAAGUGUAAGCCAAAACGGACCCACCAUUGGCCUUUACCGUGUUUGACCCAAGUACAGCAACUCCUCCCAGAAAACCCUGUAUGCCCAAACGUUACCCUAACACAAGAACAUUCCCGGAAAGAUUAAAAGAGAAAGAAGGAACUCGGCAAACCUAAGCCCCGCCUGUUUACCAAAAACAUCGCCUCUUGAUUAAAUAUAAGAGGUCCAGCCUGCCCAGUGACAUAGUUAAACGGCCGCGGUACCCUGACCGUGCGAAGGUAGCAUAAUCACUUGUUCCUUAAAUAGGGACUUGUAUGAACGGCAUCACGAGGGCUUUACUGUCUCCUUUCUCCAAUCAGUGAAACUGAUCUCCCCGUGAAGAAGCGGGGAUGAUAAUAUAAGACGAGAAGACCCCAUGGAGCUUUAAACCCAACGACACCCCUCAACUCCCCAACCCAUUUUAGUUGCUACAGUCCUGUUCGUUGGUUUUAGGUUGGGGUGACCGCGGAGUAUAGAUUAACCUCCACGACGAAUGGGAUUACCCCCUUACCCAAGAGCUACUCCUCUAAGGAUCAAUAAAUUGACGUAAAAUGAUCCAACAUUUGAUCAACGGACCAAGUUACCCUGGGGAUAACAGCGCAAUCCAUUUCAAGAGCCCCUAUCGACAAAUGGGUUUACGACCUCGAUGUUGGAUCAGGGUACCCAAGUGGUGCAGCCGCUACUAAUGGUUUGUUUGUUCAACAAUUAAAACCCU
rnacentral:rRNA from 1 species